ACUCGCACGCCACCACCACCUCACAACAUCAACCAGAAGCACGCCGGAGAGCACAUAAGAAAAUAUAUAUUUAAUUUUAAAAGAAAACACAAUGUGCUCAUCCAUCUAGGAAUAUCUCCCUAUUUGGAUCGCCGUCCUAGUUUAUACAUCGGUGGUGGCGUGCUUUGGCCAUAACAAUUCUAACAUGUUAAUUACCAUAGCACCCCCCACCCCCUUACAGCUAUCGUGGCCUCGCGACUGAUUAUUCGCCUAAGGAUGGCCUGCAACAAAACAUCGGGGAUCGGCGAGGCUCCGCAGACGAAAUCGAUGUGCCAGGACAGGUAGGAUUACCAACGUGGGGAACACCCACACCCGAGAUGUCUCAUGCCGGGCUCUAGACAACGAAUGGUUGGUAACCAUUUCCAGACCCAAUGUUGUCGGCGUGUUGCUGUUCUUGACGCCGCGAAAUGUAACCAUCGCCCGGAACUCCUUGUCAAGAUGGAUGUGCGACAGACCACCGGCUCAUGAAGAUUGCUGUGUCAUAUCUCUACCUGACCACGUACGUGUCCCUCGACUCAGCCACUUUAUGCAAGCAUCAUCUCGUCUUCCAUUUCUCAGCCUUCUGGACGGUUGCCAGACAACUAGUUGGACACAGUUGAGGACACACGGACACACACAAAUUGGACUGUCCGCGUGUGGUAGGCGUCUUACACAGCUCCUGGCCAGACAUCACAAAAGGAAUCACCGGCGGCACAGGCUUCCAUACAAUUUCGGCUUCACCGUGCACUACAAGGUAGAUGUCUCAACCAUUAACACCGUUCCCAGUCCGAUGGCCUGAUGGUUUAUUGAUUUUCCGCAAUAAAAUAUCGCACUGGCCCCCUUUAUAGCUAGGAUGGCCAGUGCUAUUCUCCAAAUCACAGGAAUCACUUUCUAUACAGCAAAAGAAAUGACAAAAUCUCAAAUCUACUACACAUUUUUAGCAACUACAGUUCACUCACA